rnacentral:rRNA from 1 species
CCUACGGGAGGCAGCAGUGAGGAAUAUUGGUCAAUGGGCGAGAGCCUGAACCAGCCAAGUCGCGUGAGGGAGUACUGCCCUAUGGGUUGUAAACCUCUUUUGUCGGGGAGCAAAAGCCGGACGUGUCCGGCUGUGAGAGUACCCGAAGAAAAAGCAUCGGCUAACUCCGUGCCAGCAGCCGCGGUAAUACGGAGGAUGCGAGCGUUAUCCGGAUUUAUUGGGUUUAAAGGGUGCGCAGGCGGAUUUUUAAUUCAGCGGUAAAAUCGUGGGGCUCAACCCCAUCCAGCCGUUGAAACUGGGGAUCUAGAGUGUGCGAGAGGUAUGCGGAAUGCGUGGUGUAGCGGUGAAAUGCAUAGAUAUCACGCAGAACCCCGAUUGCGAAGGCAGCAUACCGGUGCACAACUGACGCUCAGGCACGAAAGCGUGGGUAUCGAACAGGAUUAGAUACCCGAGUAGUC